rnacentral:piRNA from 1 species
UNGCAUGCUGCAUGGCCACCGGCCUAUUUCC